CCUACGGGAGGCAGCAGUGAGGAAUAUUGGUCAAUGGCCGGAAGGCUGAACCAGCCAUGCCGCGUGAAGGUCAGUGCCCUAUGGGCGUUAAACUUCUUUUGUGCGGGAGCAAUAAUUGUCACGUGUGGCCAGACGAGAGUACCGUACGAAUAAGCAUCGGCUAACUCCGUGCCAGCAGCCGCGGGAAUACGGGGGAUGCAAGCGUUAUCCGGAUUUAUUGGGGUUAAAGGGUGCGUAGGCUGGGAGGUAAGUCAGCGUGGAAAUGCCCCGGGUCAACGGGGUGAAGUGCCAUUGAUACUGGCUAGCUGGAAUGCGGAUGCGGUGGGAGGAAUGUGAGGUGUAGCGGUGAAAUGCAUAGAUAUCACACGGAACACCGAUUGCGAAGGCAUCUCACGAAUCCGCGAUUGACGCUGAUGCACGAAAGCGUGGGUAUCAAACAGGAUUAGAUACCCUGGUAGUC
rnacentral:rRNA from 1 species